rnacentral:rRNA from 1 species
GUAGGGAAUCUUCCGCAAUGGACGCAAGUCUGACGGAGCAACGCCGCGUGAGUGAAGAAGGGUUUCGGCUCGUAAAACUCUGUUGUUAAGGAAGAAUGACGGGUAUUUAACUGAUGCCCGUGUGACGGUACUUAACCAGAAAGCCACGGCUAACUACGUGCCAGCAGCCGCGGUAAUACGUAGGUGGCAAGCGUUAUCCGGAAUUAUUGGGCGUAAAGCGCGCGUAGGCGGUUCAUUAAGUCUGAUGUGAAAGCCCCCGGCUCAACCGGGGAGGGUCAUUGGAAACUGGUGGACUUGAGUGCAGAAGAGGAGAGUGGAAUUCCAUGUGUAGCGGUGAAAUGCGCAGAGAUAUGGAGGAACACCAGUGGCGAAGGCGGCUCUCUGGUCUGUAACUGACGCUGAUGUGCGAAAGCGUGGGGAUCAAACAGGAUUAGAAACCCUAGUAGUCC